UACAGGAGAAGGGAUCCCUCUUGAAUCCCAAUCUCGCAUUUUUACUCCUUUCAUGCAGGUUGGUCCAUCCACUUCUCGAAAGUAUGGAGGCACUGGGAUUGGCCUAAGUAUAAGCAAGUGUUUGGUUGGCCUCAUGAAUGGGGAAAUUGGGUUUGUAAGCAUACCCAAGAUUGGGACCACCUUUACAUUUACCGCUGUUUUUGCCAAUGGCUGCUCCAAUUUAAAUGAGUACAAGAGUCACAAAAUCAGCAACCA
rnacentral:misc_RNA from 1 species